CGUAGGGUGCGAGCGUUGCCCGGAUUUAUUGGGCGUAAAGGGCGCGUAGGCGGCUCGGCACGUCCGUUGUGAAAUCGCCCGGCUCAACUGGGCGGGGUCAGCGGAUACGGUCGAGCUUGAGCAAGCUAGGGGGCAAUGGAAUUCCCGGUGUAGUGGUGGAAUGCGUAGAUAUCGGGAGGAACACCAGUGGCGAAGGCGGUUGCCUGGGGCUUUGCUGACGCUGAUGCGCGAAAGCGUGGGGAGCGAUCCGGAUUAGAUACCCGGGUAGUCCACGCCGUAAACGAUGCGGACUAGGUGUCGGGGGUAUCGACCCCCUCGGCGCCGCAGCUAACGCACUAAGUCCGCCGCCUGGGGACUACGGCCGCAAGGCUA
rnacentral:rRNA from 1 species